rnacentral:rRNA from 1 species
GACGUAGGGCGCGAGCGUUUGUCCGGAUUUAUUGGGCGUAAAGAGCUCGUAGGCGGUCUGUCGCGUCUGCUGUGAAAACUCAGGGCUUAACCCUGAGCUUGCAGUGGGUACGGGCAGACUAGAGUGCGGUAGGGGAGACUGGAAUUCCUGGUGUAGCGGUGAAAUGCGCAGAUAUCAGGAGGAACACCCGGUGGGCGAAAGGCGGGUCUCUGGGAAACAACUGACGCUGGAGGAA